GGUUGUGUAGUGUAGUGGUCAUCACUCCGGAUUUUGAUCACAUCAAAAUCUAGUUUUCCGGCAACCCCGGUUCGAACCCGGGCACGACCU